UGUCACUUCAGUUCACAUCGGUUAAGGGAUUAUCGAAACCAUUUUGAAAGCAGCUCCCGAUUCCUACAAACUCUAAAUUCCAAAACGCACAAAGCAGGACGUCAUCGAUUCUGAAGUCUUCAACUUUAGCGUCUUCACUGGGGCGAAAGACGUUUCCAACCAAACCAGCCUGCCAUGGACGGAGGGGGUGACAGACAGCGGACUGUCCAUUUCCGCCGGCGCGUGCAUAACCAUCAUCGUUCUGUUCGUGUCGUAGCACAAGCAUCUGACUCCCGUACUAGUAUCGGUUAUGCUUCAGAUGAGGACGGUGUACCUGAUGCGUCAAGGCUUGCGUUGAUCUUGGCCCAGUUGGCCGAAGACUCUGGCUUCGAGUCAGGCAGCGAGGGCGACUAAGUAAAUUCCCAGCAGUGUUAAUAACUAAAUUAUUAUACAAAUUCGUCGUGGAUAUUACUUUACAAAAGGAAAAUAUUUUUGAGCAAAUUGACGAAAAUUAAAGGACAGUUUUAAGGAGCAAUGGAAAGUAAGAGUGAGUUUUUCACACUGCUCUAGCUAAAGCUUCUCCAGGAGAACAGGUCCAGGGUAGCGUUCAUGAAUUUGCUGCCUUAUCAAGAGGCAGUUUACCGUCGCGAAGGUGCUGGAGAGUCCCUACAUGGAAAGCCAAGCAGUCAGGGAGUUUGGUGUCUGAGGCGGAAGCCUACUUCUUGUGGCAACAGUUUUUGUUAGCCACAGGACCCUUGAACUGAAACCAAAGGUAUUGGAGAAGGCUCCUUCAAUCAUUUAGAAAACAUUUUUGGCUGAAACUUAGCAAUCAUAUUUUACAAAUCGUAGUGAAUUCCUUACGUUGAUGACUUGGCGAAUCAAUAUAUUUUAAUAAAAAAAUUUAUGUCUAACCAAGCUUUUUUUAUAUAAAGAGCUAUAAAAAAUA